rnacentral:rRNA from 1 species
AUAAUGGGUCAGCGACUUAUAUUCUGUAGCAAGGUUAACCGAAUAGGGGAGCCGAAGGGAAACCGAGUCUUAACUGGGCGUUAAGUUGCAGGGUAUAGACCCGAAACCCGGUGAUCUAGCCAUGGGCAGGUUGAAGGUUGGGUAACACUAACUGGAGGACCGAACCGACUAAUGUUGAAAAAUUAGCGGAUGACUUGUGGCUGGGGGUGAAAGGCCAAUCAAACCGGGAGAUAGCUGGUUCUCCCCGAAAGCUAUUUAGGUAGCGCCUCGUGAAUUCAUCUCCGGGGGUAGAGCACUGUUUCGGCAAGGGGGUCAUCCCGACUUACCAACCCGAUGCAAACUGCGAAUACCGGAGAAUGUUAUCACGGGAGACACACGGCGGGUGCUAACGUCCGUCGUGAAGAGGGAAACAACCCAGACCGCCAGCUAAGGUCCCAAAGUCAUGGUUAAGUGGGAAACGAUGUGGGAAGGCCCAGACAGCCAGGAUGUUGGCUUAGAAGCAGCCAUCAUUUAAAGAAAGCGUAAUAGCUCACUGGUCGAGUCGGCCUGCGCGGAAGAUGUAACGGGGCUAAACCAUGCACCGAAGCUGCGGCAGCGACGCUGAUGCGUUGUUGGGUAGGGGAGCGUUCUGUAAGCCUGUGAAGGUGUGCUGUGAGGCAUGCUGGAGGUAUCAGAAGUGCGAAUGCUGACAUAAGUAACGAUAAAGCGGGUGAAAAGCCCGCUCGCCGGAAGACCAAGGGUUCCUGUCCAACGUUAAUCGGGGCAGGGUGAGUCGACCCCUAAGGCGAGGCCGAAAGGCGUAGUCGAUGGGAAACAGGUUAAUAUUCCUGUACUUGGUGUUACUGCGAAGGGGGGACGGAGAAGGCUAUGUUGGCCGGGCGACGGUUGUCCCGGUUUAAGCGUGUAGGCUGGUUUUCCAGGCAAAUCCGGAAAAUCAAGGCUGAGGCGUGAUGACGAGGCACUACGGUGCUGAAGCAACAAAUGCCCUGCUUCCAGGAAAAGCCUCUAAGCAUCAGGUAACAUCAAAUCGUACCCCAAACCGACACAGGUGGUCAGGUAGAGAAUACCAAGGCGCUUGAGAGAACUCGGGUGAAGGAACUAGGCAAAAUGGUGCCGUAACUUCGGGAGAAGGCACGCUGAUAUGUAGGUGAAGUCCCUCGCGGAUGGAGCUGAAAUCAGUCGAAGAUACCAGCUGGCUGCAACUGUUUAUUAAAAACACAGCACUGUGCAAACACGAAAGUGGACGUAUACGGUGUGACGCCUGCCCGGUGCCGGAAGGUUAAUUGAUGGGGUCAGCGCAAGCGAAGCUCUUGAUCGAAGCCCCGGUAAACGGCGGCCGUAACUAUAACGGUCCUAAGGUAGCGAAAUUCCUUGUCGGGUAAGUUCCGACCUGCACGAAUGGCGUAAUGAUGGCCAGGCUGUCUCCACCCGAGACUCAGUGAAAUUGAACUCGCUGUGAAGAUGCAGUGUACCCGCGGCAAGACGGAAAGACCCCGUGAACCUUUACUAUAGCUUGACACUGAACAUUGAGCCUUGAUGUGUAGGAUAGGUGGGAGGCUUUGAAGUGUGGACGCCAGUCUGCAUGGAGCCGGCCUUGAAAUACCACCCUUUAAUGUUUGAUGUUCUAACGUUGACCCGUGAUCCGGGUUGCGGACAGUGUCUGGUGGGUAGUUUGACUGGGGCGGUCUCCUCCUAAAGAGUAACGGAGGAGCACGAAGGUUGGCUAAUCCUGGUCGGACAUCAGGAGGUUAGUGCAAUGGCAUAAGCCAGCUUGACUGCGAGCGUGACGGCGCGAGCAGGUGCGAAAGCAGGUCAUAGUGAUCCGGUGGUUCUGAAUGGAAGGGCCAUCGCUCAACGGAUAAAAGGUACUCCGGGGAUAACAGGCUGAUACC